AGUGUAGCGGGAAAUGCAUAGAUAUUACUUAGAAACACCAAUUGCGAAGGCAGGUUACCAUGUCUUAACUGACGCUGAUGGACGAAAGCGUGGGGAGCGAACAGGAUUAGAUACCCCUGGUAGUCCACGCCGUAAACGAUGCUAACUCCGUUUUUGGGUUUUCGGAUUCAGAGANUAAGCGAAAGUGAUAAGUUAGCCACCUGGGGAGUACGUUCGCAAGAAUGAAACUCAAAGGAAUUGACGGGGGCCCGCACAAGCGGUGGAUUAUGUGGUUUAAUUCGAUGAUACGCGAGGAACCUUACCAAGGCUUAAAUGGGAAUUGACAGGUUUAGAAAUAGACUUUUCUUCGGACAAUUUUCAAGGUGCUGCAUGGUUGUCGUCAGCUCGUGCCGUGAGGUGUUAGGUUAAGUCCUGCAACGAGCGCAACCCCUGUCACUAGUUGCCAUCAUUCAGUUGGGGACUCUAGUGAGACUGCCUACGCAAGUAGAGAGGAAGGUGGGGAUGACGUCAAAUCAUCACGGCCCUUACGCCUUGGGCCACACACGUAAUACAAUGGCCAGUACAGAGGGCAGCUACCAGGUGACUGGAUGCGAAUCUCGAAAGCUGGUCUCAGUUCGGAUUGGA
rnacentral:rRNA from 1 species